CAUGAGCUCACAUGGGAAGCAGAUCAUGCAAGCGGUCACGCUUAUCCUGGAGGGAGAACACAGCAUAGAGGUCAAAGAGCAGACAUUAUGCAUAUUGGCCAACAUUGCUGACGGAAACACUGCCAAGGAACCCAUUAUGACCAAUGACUACAUGCUCCAAAAAAUUUAAUAUUACAUGGGUCACUCCAAUGUGAAGCUGCAGCUGGCUGCCACCUUCUGCAUCUCUAACCUCAUCUGGAAUGAGGAGGACGGUGAGGAGCUCAGGACACGUGGGUUCUGUGGAGGUGUAGUGGGACAGUUUAACUGUUGUGCUCUCAGUUUGUCCAAACAUGCACAAAAGCAUUUACAGUAAAAGCGUCAUUAGUGUUGUCAAAUCAGUAUUAAAAUAUUAAUCAUGAAUCAUUUGUGUUUUAUUACAUAUGUUUAAAAUGUCUAUUUAAGUUUUCUGUUUGAUUUAAGGCA